AGUUCUGUCAAUCUCCAUCCUCUACAGUUCUGUCAAAGCUGGCAGUUCUUCAACCUAUGUCCAGAAACCAAGCACCUCUAAACCUGCCCCCAGGCAAAGCUAUCAGCGCAGCUAUAAUCCCAAUGCUGUGAAGUCAAGUUGAGGUGCUGAGACCAUGAAGUGAUGCCAGGCGCUGUACUUCAAUGGUUUUAAUAAAUAACGCUGAAUCUUA